rnacentral:rRNA from 1 species
UACGAAGGGGCUAGCGUUGCUCGGAAUCACUGGGCGUAAAGGGUGCGUAGGCGGGUUUUUAAGUCAGGGGUGAAAUCCUGGAGCUCAACUCCAGAACUGCCUUUGAUACUGAAGAUCUUGAGUCCGGGAGAGGUGAGUGGAACUGCGAGUGUAGAGGUGAAAUUCGUAGAUAUUCGCAAGAACGACCAGUGGCGAAGGCGGCUCACUGGCCCGGUACUGACGCUGAGGCACGAAAGCGUGGGGAGCAAACAGGG